CUCCCAGCACCGGUAGUGCAGGGAGCAGCUCAGUUCUGGCUGGACACGUUCCUGGCUGCUCCAAUGCCAGCAGAUCCGUGCAGGAGCAGGGCCCAGGCAGGAGGCUGCUCCUGUCAUGCGUGGUUCUGAGUGUUGCAAAGGACACCUGUGCUAAUGAGUAACUCUUGCUCUGGCGGCAGCACAAGCUGGGAUAAUAAGACAGAACGAGGCAUUUGGCCAGUGCAGCUUGGCUGAGGUACAUUUGCUGAAGGUGGGGCUGGAGCUGCAUGUGGACAAGGCUGGCUGCAGAGCAGUGAGAUGCUGACAGUUCUUGGGAGGAUGGCGGGUUGCUAUUGGCCACUUCAGCUCAGAAGGGUUUUGUGAUCUCCUGGGAUUCCAUCUCCUCCUGCUAACACCCACUGGAGAAGAGAAAACUCUGACUCUCCUGCACAGAGCCUGACCGCACUGUCAGAGGGUGAGCCCCAAAGAUACCUGGGGCCUUGAGAAAUGGGCCCUGGCUGGAAUAAACAUGAACUCUGGGGUUGGUU